AACAUGUUUUUUUGAAAAUAAUUUAAAGUUUAAUCUGCCCACUGAUNAAAUUAUUAAAGGGCUGCAGUAUUUUGACUGUACAAAGGUAGCAUAAUCAUUAGUCUCUUAAUUGGUGACUUGUAUGAAAGAUUGGAUGAAAUAUAUACUGUCUCUAUUUAAUUUAUAAAAUUUAAUUUUUUAGUAAAAAAGCUAAAAUGAAUUUAAAAGACGAGAAGACCCUAUAGAGUUUGAUAAUUUAUUUAAUUAUUAUUAAUAUAUAAAUUUUAAAAUUAAAAUUAAAUAAAUUAUUUUGUUGGGGUGAUAGAAAAAUUAAAUUAACUUUUUUUUUAUUUUAUACAUUAAUUUAUGAAUGAAUGAUCCAUUAAUAAUGAUUAAAAGAAAAAAUUACCUUAGGGAUAACAGCGUAAUUUUUUUUUUUAGUUCAAAUAGGAAAAAAAGUUUGCGACCUCGAUGUUGGAUUAAGAUAAAAUUUAAAUGCAAAAGUUUAAAAUUUUAAUCUGUUCGAUCAUUAAAAUCUUA
rnacentral:rRNA from 1 species